GUGCUUGCUUAGGCAGCACAUAUACUAAAAUUGGAACAAUACAGAGAAGAUUCGCAUGGCCCCUGCGCAAGGAUGACAGGCUUAGAAAGCACAAAUUAAU
rnacentral:snRNA from 1 species